rnacentral:lncRNA from 1 species
GCUCUGGUCUGAGCCCUGCAAGGCCUGGCUUCGGCUGGCACCAGGAGAGGGCUUUGCUGAAGAAAAGCUACUGGGCACAAAGGGGCUGCACUUAGAGAGGAUUACAUCUCUACAGGACUGCCGUGGGGGAGUUUCUGCAACAAAAAAGAAAUCUCCCGUAUCAAGCUUUUCCUUAGAAAUACUCUAGAGGGAGUCAAAUCUAAAAGUUUAUUUAUCUUUAAAGUAUUUCAACUGUAGAUCCCUCUUCUAAAACAUUCUGUUUGCUUCCUGUUUAUUUAUUUUAGGCCUGUCUAUUAAUGUGGCAUUUUUGUUUGAAUGUGUUUGUACAUUUUCAGAUCAGAUACGUGCUAAUAGUACUUAAGAGGCAUUACUUGGAGUGAUGUGUCACUGUCACAGCAAUAAAUAGCCUUUGAAACUAGCAAAUACCAGUUUUAGCUUUGAACCAAACAGAGUCCUAGGAAACAAAAGCAAAAAAGCAAAAAAAAAAAAAAGAAAGUAAAAGAGUUUCACAUACCGAAGAAAUGGAAGUAUGGCUUGUAUUGAAGAUCACUUUCUACAGUGUUUUCUAUGGCUUUGGUAUCUGGUGACACACUAAGUCCCUUACAUGAAUAAUUUGCUUUAGAAAUGUAACUUUGAAUUGGAUGUAACAUCCCAUCAGCCAUAUGCUACUAUCUUGGAUGAAGGUUGUGGAUGCAUCCUACUUUAAAAAAUUGUUGAUCUUGAAAGCAGAUGCCUUCAACUUGUUUCCUCCUGGAGGAGUGUGUGGCAAACAUUUUUACAUGGCAGUGGAGCCUGCCUUUCACAGUACCUUGGAGGAAGAAAAAGGCAGAAGAUGUGACAAAAAUUUAGGAUGGUUCUUGAAGGACACUGAAUAGCACUAUAAAACCACAAGAUGCUAGCUAACCAUAGAAAUGCAUUGCUGUCAUCAGAAGCACUGUGGCCCAGAUUUGUACUCUCAGGCAGCAGUUCUGUGCCUUUGUUUGAUGAAGAGUCUCUUGAUGAAAAACCCUUUAGAAACCACGAGCUGCCUCAUCCUGCUGGUCAUUUUGGAUGGUCCCCACCGGUCUUUCUCCAUGCUGGUCAAACACUGAGGCAGCGACACGUCCAGCCCUUGACCCAUUCCAUGUCCCAGAUGAGGGAGGCUGUACCUGGAGCAGUCGAUUCAGAACACAGGGAGAAGCAAACCCUCACAGCUGGAGCAAAAGUGGCCAGCCCAUGGACCCAGAAGGGCCAGAAGGUCCAGAGGCAUGUCCUUUGGGGAGGAUGUUGCCCUGUUGCUCCCUGUGCUGAGGACAAGCCGCCCUGCUGCUGCCUGGCUGCUGGAGGUGGUGGAGACACAUCCCAGUGCUGCACCAUGGGGGUCUGCUUCCCCUUUGCUCUCCCGCCACCCUGCAGCUUCACUGAGGGCAAGGCACAUUUUGUGGGGUUAUUUGGAUGGCAAGGGAUGAGUUCCUUUUUUUAUUCAGGGCUGAGCAGAAUAUUUUAAUUGUUUUUGUUGUUGUUGUUAAUUCAUUUCCAUAAAUAAAAAUGGAAAACAACUUACA